rnacentral:miRNA from 1 species
GGCGACUUGUCCAGAAUCACACA